AAACAGAGCCUUUUCAGCCCAGAAAGAAAGCCACCUUGUCCGCUGCCCAGGCUGGAAAAGACACGGUCCAGAACAUUUAUUCUGCCAUGCUUCAGUCUUUCAGGCAGAAAAAGCCCUGGCAGGAGUUGAUUUUGCAAGUUGAACAGAGAAGACUCGUCUUUGGAGUGGAGGGGAUCAAAUGAUACUAGAUGUGAAAGCACUUUGGAAAGUUAAAGGGAUUAUACAAAGGUUUGUGGCAACCCCGUGUCAAGCACGUCUAUCGGCGCCAUUUUUCCAACAGCAUUUGCUCACUUCGUGUCUCUGUGUCACGUUAUGGCACGAUGCUAAUCGCUCCAGGAGAUGAUCUCUUUUCGUCCUCCCAACCGUCUAUGUGGUUGCCCUCUCUGGAGCUCACACUCAGCCUGGCCAAAACUAAGCUCACCAUCACUUCUAUGUUCAUCCCAGACUAACUCCUCAUCCGAUGUGUCUAUUUCUGGGCAGUGACACCAUCUCCUAAAGACAAAGCCAAAAGCAGGCUCAAGGAGCCAUGCCCUGAUGAGACUUUGUCGAUCUACUUCUUGGCUCUGUUUCAGGCCUACAUCAGUCAAAGUCAAAUUGUUGCUGCCUUUAGCAACAAUUGGUCACAUCUGGUCCUCGGUCCUGAACUAGGCUCACUAUGUGGAAUCC